CUGGAGGACGGGUCCCAAAACUGGCUUGCCACAGUCCCUUUCAGUAUUGCUGUGAUGAGACGCCUGGAGGAAAGCUGUCAGAGCAGAUGUGUGUAGAGGAAGAAAGUUGUGUAGUCGAAGGACAGUGUUGUUUACUCUUAUCUUGAGUGUGAGUAGAGAACUGUAUUAACAAUAGGGCUUUGUGCCAUUGACAGAGUGUGAAAGAGGGAGCCUAUAUUACAUUGGGGUUUGGGACCUGACCUGCCUAUAUCUAGCCAGCGAGAGUGAAUGGGGUCAGUGUUAGCUGCCUUCAUCUAUGCAGUCACAAAGGUAAAGAUGAUACUGGAGAGUAUAUUCCCUCCCGGGAGGCCUUGGCCUCACGCCCCUGCCACCUUGGCAAGACCUGCUAAAUAACACCUUUGUCUGAGACAGGGUUAUGCAUCAUCUCCUCUUCUAUGCCCUCAUGGCAAGUCUAGGUGGCUUAAGAUUAAGAAGUGAGGACAUGGAGGCGGACUGUCCCUCUGAGCAGCUCUGAAGUAGGGCCAAGCACACUGCCUUCCAAGCUGACAGCCACUUGUUUGUUUCAUCUUUCCUGAGAACUAAGAGAGGUUCACCCAGCUCAGUUCUUCUCAAAGACACCCCGUCUGUGCAUUGUGCUUGUUUGCUCAUCCAUGAAAAGAGGAAGAGAGAACAGCCGUGGAUGUGAUGUCAGUAUCAAAACUUCCUUGAGGACAGGCGGGAUAAAUUGGGCAAACGGCUGAGUUCUCCCGCAGCCUUUGGGAGAUUGGCCCUGAGAACCCAGAAUAGAUGCCCAUUAUACAUCAUGCGUGUGCUAUGGAAAGGUCUGUGCCAGGCAAGCCUGAGAGCCUAAUUCGCUAUUCCUAUGGGGUUCCAUGCACCCAUCCUGGCUGUCAGGCCCCAAUACCCAUCAUACUUGACCUGUACUGGGUAUUUUUUCACUCAGAUCCCUCACUCUACAGUGACUCUACCAGAAAUCUUGAAUUCCAGAUGAGCCACGUCAUGCCAUUGUCAGCAUAGGAGGCCCUUUGAAGCCCCAAAAUGGGUCAUUUGCACUCCCUUCUUCUGCCUGCUCCUGUUCCCAUGAGUGGUUGGCAUGGAAAGGGCCAUCAGUAGAACUUGGCUGGCAACAUUUGCAGGAGCAGGAAUCAACAGAGGACCCAGGAGAAAGGGAUGGAGCCCAGGGCAUGAAACAUAGUCCAGAUUCCUGCUGGUCAGAGCCCUAGAGAAUAAGAGAAGCUUGCUGCUGGUGAGGGGGUAUGGCCAGGAUUCCUGGAGUCGGAAGAGCUUCAGCUUCACCAUCUUGGGAGAAGAAGGAAGAAAGUGAAAGCGAUGUGGUCCUUCUUAGUCCCAAGGACCCUGACAGCUUUCACAUGUGAUGUUUCAAGGCAACGGGGAGAGCUUCUUUACCAGAACGAGGGAGAAGAUAAGACUAAAGCAGUAAUGGUGGUAGGGACUGAAAAUCACUUAGUCUUUUCUCUACUCUCUUUCUUUCCAAACUUUGAGUUGAGUGGUGAGCUUGGAAAACACUCCAAAACUCCUCGUGGCCUCUGGCACCAGUCUGACACCCAGUAGGAAUGCAGGAGAUUACGUUAGUUUUCAUAAUUUAGCAUUGAUCACUCCCAGCUCGUAGCUAAAGUUGAUCAGUAACUGUUGGUUGGUUGGCUGGUUUGGGGCUUGGGGAUCCCUGAGCCAACUCAAGGGCCAGAAAGGAUUCCAGAGUGUUUCCACGGUCCUUCAAUGUUCCUUAAGCAUUCCCACUUUCUGAAGUGCCAUACAGAGGCUUGGGGCAGAGACAGGGAGAGGGGAUGACCAGAAUGGAUGGGGAGCCGGAAGGGCCGGGGCUCUGGGGACCCAGCUCAGAGCAGCGAGAACAGCGGAAAAGCAGGCAGAUCAAAACAAACACAGUGUCUGGGAACACCAAGACCCUCCUAAUCCCAUCCCCGCCAAAGGGACCCCACCCUUAUCCUCUUUAGGGGCGCGGC
rnacentral:lncRNA from 1 species